rnacentral:rRNA from 1 species
CCUACGGGAGGCAGCAGUGGGGAAUAUUGCGCAAUGGGCGAAAGCCUGACGCAGCGACGCCGCGUGAGGGAUGAAGGUCUUCGGAUCGUAAACCUCUGUCAGCAGGGAAGAACGGUCACUGUGCUAAUCAGCAGUGAAUUGACGGUACCUGCAAAGGAAGCACCGGCUAACUCCGUGCCAGCAGCCGCGGUAAUACGGAGGGUGCGAGCGUUGAUCGGAAUUACUGGGCUUAAAGCGCUCGUAGGCGGUAUGUCAAGUCAAGGGUGAAAUCCCCGGGCUCAACGUUGGAACUGCCUUUGAAACUGGCAAGCUGGAGUGUGUGAGCGGAUAGUGGAAUGUCAGGUGUAGGAGUGAAAUCCGUAGAUAUCUGGAGGAACAUCAGUGGCGAAGGCGACUAUCUGGCACAUAACUGACGCUGAGGAGCGAAAGCGUGGGUAGCAAACAGGAUUAGAUACCCUUGUAGUC